rnacentral:lncRNA from 1 species
GGCAGUUAUCUGCUAAUUUACCAUGACACUUUUUUUUUCUAGGCGGACCUCUCUUAAUGUUUACUGAAACAAUAACUGAGUGAUGUCAUACAUUUUGGGAAAGUCACACCCGUUUCAUGUAGACUCAGCUACAAUAGAGAAGUCCGGAUUUUGCGAAGAAGAAUGAACACAACCAUGGGUCUGGUUUUGGAAUUAGAAUGGAGUGGCUGGAACAACUAGGUUUCUGCAGUUUCAGGCGGGACUGAAGAAUACUCACAAAGGAUAUGCAGAUCUGUGUCAGAAAGCAUGGAGCAAGUGUUAAGAAAUUCUACAAGAGGCUCAGGAAGCGCUCAGGAUAAAGGUGACCCC